rnacentral:rRNA from 2 species
UGAAAUGUUGGGUUAAGUCCCGCAACGAGCGCAACCCUUAUCCUUUGUUGCCAGCGAUUAGGUCGGGAACUCAAAGGAGACUGCCAGUGAUAAACUGGAGGAAGGUGGGGAUGACGUCAAGUCAUCAUGGCCCUUACGACCAGGGCUACACACGUGCUACAAUGGCGCAUACAAAGAGAAGCGACCUCGCGAGAGCAAGCGGACCUCAUAAAGUGCGUCGUAGUCCGGAUUGGAGUCUGCAACUCGACUCCAUGAAGUCGGAAUCGCUAGUAAUCGUGGAUCAGAAUGCCACGGUGAAUACGUUCCCGGGCCUUGUACACACCGCCCGUCACACCAUGGGAGUGGGUUGCAAAAGAAGUAGGUAGCUUAACCUUCGGGAGGGCGCUUACCACUUUGUGAUUCAUGACUGGGGUGAAGUCGUAACAAGGUAACCGUAGGGGAACCUGCGGUUGGA